rnacentral:rRNA from 1 species
UGGGGAAUUUUGGACAAUGGGCGAAAGCCUGAUCCAGCAAUGCCGCGUGUGCGAAGAAGGCCUUCGGGUUGUAAAGCACUUUUGUCCGGAAAGAAAUCCUUGGCUCUAAUACAGUCGGGGGAUGACGGUACCGGAAGAAUAAGCACCGGCUAACUACGUGCCAGCAGCCGCGGUAAUACGUAGGGUGCAAGCGUUAAUCGGAAUUACUGGGCGUAAAGCGUGCGCAGGCGGUUUGCUAAGACCGAUGUGAAAUCCCCGGGCUCAACCUGGGAACUGCAUUGGUGACUGGCAGGCUAGAGUAUGGCAGAGGGGGGUAGAAUUCCACGUGUAGCAGUGAAAUGCGUAGAGAUGUGGAGGAAUACCGAUGGCGAAGGCAGCCCCCUGGGCCAAAUACUGACGCUCAUGCACGAAAGCGUGGGGAGCAAACAGGAUUAGAUACCCUGGUAGUCCACGCCCUAAACGAUGUCAACUAGUUGUUGGGGAUUCAUUUCCUUAGUAACGUAGCUAACGCGUGAAGUUGACCGCCUGGGGAGUACGGUCGCAAGAUUAAAACUCAAAGGAAUUGACGGGGUCAUAGCUGUUUCCU